UUUUUUCUUUUUUGUUUGUAAUUAGGCCGAAUGGGCUGGGUGGGAUAGGUUUAGUAGAAUAACAUUUUAUUUUUGGUUGGAUUGAGCUUUAUAUUUAGAGCUUAAAAGAAUUUUUAAAAAAUUUUGAUAUAAAUGAGACACUUACACAAAAGUGUUCCAAACAUGUGUUCCUAUAACCUAAUUUGUUGUAGUGAUGGAUUCCAAUUCAUUCUCUAUAUAUUUCAAAUAAAAUCUAAAUUUCAUCUUAUUCUAAUUAGAUUAAAAUAUUUUCAAUUUAGAUAACUACAAAUCUAAGCCAAAUUU
rnacentral:lncRNA from 1 species